CUUUGGAUACCCACUAUCAGGUGA
rnacentral:siRNA from 1 species